GAUGAACGCUGGCGGCGUGCUUAACACAUGCAAGUCGAACGAUGAAGCCCAGCUUGCUCGGUGGAUUAGUGGCGAACGGGUGAGUAACACGUGAGUAACCUGCCCUUAACUCUGGGAUAAGCCUGGGAAACUGGGUCUAAUACCGGAUAGGAGCGUCCACCGCAUGGUGGGUGUUGGAAAGAUUUAUCGGUUUUGGAUGGACUCGCGGCCUAUCAGCUUGUUGGUGAGGUAAUGGCUCACCAAGGCGACGACGGGUAGCCGGCCUGAGAGGGUGACCGGCCACACUGGGACUGAGACACGGCCCAGACUCCUACGGGAGGCAGCAGUGGGGAAUAUUGCACAAUGGGCGCAAGCCUGAUGCAGCGACGCCGCGUGAGGGAUGACGGCCUUCGGGUUGUAAACCUCUUUCAGUAGGGAAGAAGCGAAAGUGACGGUACCUGCAGAAGAAGCACCGGCUAACUACGUG
rnacentral:rRNA from 1 species